rnacentral:rRNA from 1 species
UACAGAGGGUGCUAGCGUUGUUCGGAAUUACUGGGCGUAAAGGGCGCGUAGGCGGUCUGUUAAGUUCGGUGUGAAAUCCCCUGGCUCAACUGGGGAACUGCGCUGGAAACUGGCAGACUCGAGUACCGGAGAGGAGAGUGGAAUUCCUGGUGUAGCGGUGAAAUGCGUAGAUAUCAGGAGGAACACCGGUGGCGAAGGCGGCUCUCUGGACGGAUACUGACGCUGAGGCGCGAAAGCGUGGGGAUCAAACAGG